GCGCUCCUCAGCUGAGCUACCUGAUCCCUCUCCUACUUGCGUGCAAGCAGGAGUGGAGGCAGGGAUCUCUCAGAAGUGGAGUGGAGGCUUUCCGCUCCCCAGCUGAGCUGCCCGCUCCCGCUCCUGCUUGCACGCAAGUAGGAGUGGGAUCGGGCAGCUCAACUGGGGAGCGC